AUUGAACGCUGACGGCAUGCCUUACACAUGCAAGUCGAACGGUAACGGGCCUUCGGGUGCCGACGAGUGGCGAACGGGUGAGUAAUGCAUCGGAACGUACCUUUCAGUGGGGGAUAACGUAGCGAAAGUUACGCUAAUACCGCAUAUUCUGUGAGCAGGAAAGCAGGGGAUCGCAAGACCUUGCGCUGAUUGAGCGGCCGAUGUCAGAUUAGCUAGUUGGUGAGGUAAAGGCUCACCAAGGCGACGAUCUGUAGCGGGUCUGAGAGGAUGAUCCGCCACACUGGGCCUGAGACACGGCCCAGACUCCUACGGGAGGCAGCAGUGGGGAAUUUUGGACAAUGGGGGCAACCCUGAGCCAGCCAUGCCGCGUGAGUGAAGAAGGCCUUCGGGUUGUAAAGCUCUUGCGGCCGGGAAGAAAUCGCACAGGCUAAUACCUUGUGUGGAUGACGGUACCGGAAUAAGAAGCACCGGCUAACUACGUGCCAGCCGCCGCCGUAAAAC
rnacentral:rRNA from 1 species